rnacentral:rRNA from 1 species
UACGUAGGGUGCAAGCGUUUGUCCGGAAUUAUUGGGCGUAAAGAGCUCGUAGGCGGUUUGUUGCGUCGGCUGUGAAAUCCCGAGGCUCAACCUCGGGUCUGCAGUCGAUACGAGCAAACUAGAGUGUUGCAGGGGAGACUGGAAUUCCUGGUGUAGCGGUGAAAUGCGCAGAUAUCAGGAGGAACACCGAUGGCGAAGGCAGGUCUCUGGGCAUUAACUGACGCUGAGGAGCGAAAGCAUGGGGGAGCGAACAGG